rnacentral:rRNA from 1 species
UNGCGGCGUGGGUUAGGCAUGCAAGUCGAGCGAGAACCCGCAAGGGGGACAGCGGCGAACGGGGUAGGACAACGUAGGUAACGUACCCCCGGGGCGAGGACAGCCACGGGAAACUGUGGGUAAUACUCGAUAAAGUUCCCAGUCGUGAUGGAAGGGGAACCAAUGGGUGAGAUUCCACCUGGGGAGCGGCUUACGCAGCAUCAGCUAGUUGGUGAGGUAAUGGCUCACCAAGGCAACGACGCUUAGGGGAUGUGAGAGCAUGAUCCCCACCACUGGCACUGAGACACUGGCCAGACACCUACGGGUGGCUACAGUCGAGAAUCUUCGACAAUGGGCGCAAGCCUGACCGAGCGACGCCGCGUGCGGGAUGAAGGUCUUCGGAUUGUAAACCGC